rnacentral:rRNA from 1 species
CCCUUAGAUGUUCUGGGCCGCACGCGCGCUACACUGACGAUGGCAACGAGUUUUUCCUUCGCCGAAAGGUGUGGGUAAUCUUUUGAAACAUCGUCGUGCUGGGGAUAGAUCAUUGCAAUUUUUGAUCUUGAACGAGGAAUUCCUAGUAAGCGCGAGUCAUCAGCUCGCGUUGAUUACGUCCCUGCCCUUUGAACACACCGCCCGUCGCUACUACCGAUUGAAUGGUUUAGUGAGGACUCCUGAUUGGCGCCGCCGCCCCGGCAACGGAGCAGCGGACUGCCGAAAAGUUGUUCAAACUUGAUCAUUUAGAGGAAGUAAAAGUCGUAACA